rnacentral:misc_RNA from 1 species
GAUGAAGAACGUAGCGAAAUGCGAUAAGUAGUGUGAAUUGCAGAAUUCCGUGAAUCAUCGAAUCUUUGAACGCACAUUGCGCCUUCUGGUAUUCCGGAAGGCAUGCCUGUUCGAGAGUCAUUAACAACCGUUUCGAUCCCUUUCUUUCAGAAAUUACAAAGAGGAAAAGGGUUUGGUUAUGGUGGAGGAGGGAAAGGGAGCGUUUAGCCUGUAAAAAAAGGGGCUGUGUUCUGCCUCCCACACCAAAAUUGUACAGGCGGUCGUGUGCGCCCACGCAUCGAGGUGUUGUAAAAGCUGCCACGGCACUUUUCACCUGUGCAGUGCGAGAUUGGCCAGCCGGUUUAAAAACCCCUCCAAACAAUCAAAGGUUGACCUCGGAUCAGGUAGGGAUACCCGCUGAACUUAAGCAUAUCAAUAAGCGGAGGA